rnacentral:rRNA from 1 species
UUCCUUGAAACGCAUGGUUCAAGGUUGAAAGACGGUUUCCGCUGUCACUUACAGAUGGACCGCGGCGCUUAGCUAGUUGGUGAGGUAACGGCUCACCAAGGCGACGAUGCGUAGCCGACUGAGAGGGUGAUCGGCCACACUGGGAUGAGACACGGCCCAGACUCCUACGGGAGGCAGCAGUAGGGAAUCUUCCGCAAUGGACGAAAGUCUGACGGAGCAACGCCGCGUGAGUGAUGAAGGUUUUCGGAUCGUAAAGCUCUGUUGUUAGGGAAGAACAAGUGCNAGAGUAACUGCUUGCACCUUGACGGUACCUAACCAGAAAGCCACGGCNAACUACGUGCCAGCAGCCGCGGUAAUACGUAGGUGGCAAGCGUUGUCNGGAAUUAUUGGGCGUAAAGGGCUCGCGGGCGGUUUCUUAAGUCUGAUGUGAAAGCCCCCGGCUCAACCGGGGAGGGUCAUUGGAAACUGGGAAACUUGAGUGCAGAAGAGGAGAGUGGAAUUCCACGUGUAGCGGUGAAAUGCGUAGAGAUGUGGAGGAACACCAGUGGCGAAGGCGACUCUCUGGUCUGUAACUGACGCUGAGGAGCGAAAGCGUGGGGAGCGAACAGGAUUAGAUACCCUGGUAGUCCACGCCGUAAACGAUGAGUGCUAAGUGUUAGGGGGUUUCCGCCCCUUAGUGCUGCAGCUAACGCAUUAAGCACUCCGCCUGGGGAGUACGGUCGCAAGACUGAAACUCAAAGGAAUUGACGGGGGCCCGCACNAGCGGUGGAGCAUGUGGUUUAAUUCGAAGCAACGCGAAGAACCUUACCAGGUCUUGACAUCCUCUGACAACCCUAGAGAUAGGGCUUUCCCUUCGGGGACAGAGUGACAGGUGG